rnacentral:tRNA from 1 species
GGAGGCGUGCCGGAGCGGUUUAACGGGCUAGUCUUGAAAACUAGAGUAGUCGAAAGACUACCAGAGGUUCGAAUCCUCUCGCCUCCG